UACAAAUCCCCUCCUCCUCCUUCGCCGGUCUACUAUUACAAAUCCCCGCCUCCACCACCAUACUAUUACAAGUCCCCACCUCCACCUCCGCCUAAGUAUUACUACAAGUCGCCCCCACCACCGUCUCCAUACUAUUACAAAUCCCCGCCCCCUCCACCGUACUAUUACAAAUCCCCACCACCACCUCCCUACAAAUACGAAUCGCCGCCGCCUCCUCCUUACAAAUACGAGUCCCCACCUCCACCACCUUACUAUUACAAGUCCCCACCACCACCUCCAUACAAAUAUGAAUCCCCGCCACCUCCAGUCUACAAAUAUGAGUCUCCGCCACCCCCAGUUUACAAAUACAAGUCGCCACCACCACCAUACAAGUACGAGUCACCACCACCACCUCCAUACAAGUAUGAAUCCCCGCCACCUCCACCUUAUUACUACAAGUCCCCUCCACCACCACCAUACAAGUACGAGUCGCCACCACCUCCUCCGUACAAGUAUGAAUCUCCACCACCACCAGUUUACAAAUACAAGUCACCUCCGCCGCCACCUUAUUACUACAAAUCCCCACCGCCACCUCCAUACAAGUACGAGUCUCCACCUCCUCCUCCGUACAAGUAUGAAUCUCCACCACCACCACCUUAUUACUACAAAUCCCCCCCGCCACCUCCAUACAAGUACGAGUCACCGCCUCCUCCUCCGUACAAGUAUGAAUCUCCACCACCGCCAGUUUACAAAUACAAGUCACCCCCGCCACCACCUUAUUACUACAAAUCCCCGCCACCACCUCCAUACAAGUACGAGUCUCCACCUCCUCCUCCGUACAAGUAUGAAUCUCCACCACCACCUCCUUAUUACUACAAAUCCCCGCCGCCACCUCCCUACAAGUAUGAAUCCCCGCCACCACCUCCCUACAAAUACGAGUCACCUCCACCACCACCUUACUAUUACAAAUCUCCUCCACCGCCUCCAUACAAGUAUGAGUCGCCACCACCACCAGUCUACAAAUACGAGUCUCCGCCACCCCCAGUUUACAAAUACAAGUCGCCCCCUCCACCUUAUUACUACAAGUCUCCGCCACCCCCGCCAUACAAAUAUGAAUCCCCACCUCCACCUCCCUACAAGUAUGAAUCGCCUCCUCCUCCACCUUACUACUACAAGUCCCCUCCACCACCUCCCUACAAAUAUGAAUCCCCGCCACCACCUCCCUAUAAAUACGAGUCACCACCACCACCACCUUACUAUUACAAAUCUCCUCCACCGCCUCCAUACAAGUAUGAGUCGCCACCACCACCUCCCUACAAAUACGAGUCACCACCACCACCACCUUACAAGUAUGAAUCCCCACCUCCACCUCCGUACAAGUAUGAAUCACCUCCACCGCCUCCAUACAAGUAUGAAUCCCCUCCUCCACCUCCCUACAAAUACGAGUCACCACCCCCACCACCUUAUUACUACAAAUCGCCUCCGCCACCGGAGUAUCAAUCACCUCCUUACGUGUAUAAAUCUCCAC
rnacentral:lncRNA from 1 species